AUUGGAGGAUCAAGAAGGCUGAGUCUGAUGAAGCAAGACAUCGCUGAUACGCUCCUCCUAGACAGAGGGGUGGAGAGAGCAGCCCUUCCUGGAGAAAACCACAGAGCUCACAGGGCUACCCAACGUUU
ensembl:scaRNA Gm22813 small Cajal body-specific RNA 4